CAGUAGCCGCGGGAAUACGUAGGUGGCAAGCGUUGUCCGGAAUUAUUGGGCGUAAAGGGCUCGCAGGCGGUUUCUUAAGUCUGAUGUGAAAGCCCCCGGCUCAACCGGGGAGGGUCAUUGGAAACUGGGAAACUUGAGUGCAGAAGAGGAGAGUGGAAUUCCACGUGUAGCGGUGAAAUGCGUAGAGAUGUGGAGGAACACCAGUGACGAAGGCGACUCUCUGGUCUGUAACUGACGCUGAGGAGCGAAAGCGUGGGGAGCGAACAGGAUUAGAUACCCCCGUAGUCCCUGUCUCUUAUAC
rnacentral:rRNA from 1 species